rnacentral:rRNA from 1 species
GACGAACGCUGGCGGCGUGCUUAACACAUGCAAGUCGAACGGAAAGGCCCUGCUUGCAGGGUGCUCGAGUGGCGAACGGGUGAGUAACACGUGGGUGAUCUGCCCCUUACUUUGGGAUAAGCCUGGGAAACUGGGUCUAAUACUGGAUAGGACCAUGCUGUAGGUGGUGUGGUGGAAAGAUUUUUUCGGUAAGGGAUGAGCUCGCGGCCUAUCAGCUUGUUGGUGGGGUAAUGGCCUACCAAGGCGUCGACGGGUAGCCGGCCUGAGAGGGUGGACGGCCACAUUGGGACUGAGAUACGGCCCAGACUCCUACGGGAGGCAGCAGUGGGGAAUAGUGCACAAUGGGCGCAAGCCUGAUGCAGCGACGCCGCGUGGGGGAUGACGGCCUUCGGGUUGUAAACUCCUUUCAGCCAUGACGAAGCCUCUUUUGGGGUGACGGUAGUGGUAGAAGAAGCACCGGCUAACUACGUG